CUAUCAUCUAUCUAUUAUCUAUCUAUCAAUCUAUCUAUCUAUCAUCUGUCUAUCUCUUAUUGGUCCUGUUUCUCUGGAGCACCCCAACUAAUGCACCUUCCUGCCUCACCUUCUCAUCCUCUCCUGGAUUAUUCUGGGGAACUACCAGUUCUUCUCAUCAUUUAUGAAGAAUUAUAAUAUUUCCUUCUCUUCAUUGUCCUCCUCUUUUGAAUUAUGCCCCUUCAAUGUGAAAAGGGCCUAUCGUUGAAUCUAAUAAAUAUCUCUAAUUAGCAUCACAAAGGAGAAGAAUUAUUUUAAAUUAUUGCUGAGAAGGAUGCCAUUAUAUACUAUAGGGAAAGAUCCUUCUCUAAUAUGAAGUGGUUGGGGGUGGGAAUAACCAGUUACCAUUGGCUAAUUGUUUUUGAUCCAAAAUAUUUCCUGUUUCAUUUGUUUUACUUUUUUCUCAGAUUAGUGAUGGGGGUUGGAGGAUUGAAUCAUAACAUGGUUUGAAGCCCCAUGUGUGAGGCCAACAGAUAGCUUCUUGUUGAAUGUUUCAAGGAUCUAUUCACUGGGAUAAGAGUGCAAGUACAAUUGUUCUUCAUCUCCAGAAAUGGCCUCUUACUCAGAGGCUCUCAGAAAAAUUUAAGAAACAUUCCUCCAAUCAGUUCCAUUUUCAAAGGCUUACUUAAACGGAUCCUUAAUUAGAACCUUCAAUAUAAUGGAUGCCACUCACCAGACAGUCAUAAUUAAGUUACUUGAUAAGUUUCUGAGUCUACGUUGUAGUGACAGGCCUAUUUCAGGGCAGUUCCAGGGGUCCCUUUUAGUCCAGACACUUGGUUGCAUUUCAGCCACUGAGCCAUCUUUGGCUGUCACUUCUAAGUAGAUGAAGAGAUUGACCUGCAGAUGUUACAACUUUUCCACCCUGGACUCUCCAUUGUCUUAUCUCAACUUAGCCCCUGUGAUCCCCGACUUCUCCCAUUCUCUUAAUUUCCUGGUCCUCACUUCAAAAGCCCAUUUCUGGUGCCUCCCCGUGGCCUGACCUGAGCCAGUUUGGUCAUUUACAAUUCUUAUGUUUUCUGUGCUAGAUGCUGGAGACCACCAAAAACUGAGAGAAAAAAAAGUUAAGUACCCCACCAAACCUUGCUGCCAGGAAAUAAUGAAAGCAAGUCUUAGACCAAAUUCCACCCUACAUAUAGACAUUUAUUAAAUAACUAUUUAUCCGCAUGCUGGUCCCAAACCAGUUCCUACAGCCUGUUCCGUGAGCUUGAUGGGGUCCCAGCCCCUGUCCUUCUACACCCUCUGACCACCCUCCACAUAGAACAUUCAUCAGGGCAGAGGGACCAGUACCCAGCAUCAAAACAGAUCUCUCGGUUCUGCAUUAGACAAGGGACACUUGGAGACUUGGCUGAGGGGCUGGGCUCAGUCAUCACCCCUUCCCUUCUGCACAGUUGAUCUAUUAGCUCCCUCCACCAAUAGAACAGCCAACACUUACUGAGUUCUUGCUGUGUGCCAGGCACUGUGCUAAGCGCCUUGUAGAUGUUAUUUUAUGCAGUCCCCAUAAUAACCAUAUGACCUAGGAAGUAUUAGAAGCCCUGUUUUACAACUAAGAAAGUGGAGCUUGGAGAAGUGACUUGUCCUAGUUUACAGGAAUUAAAGGUGCCCAAAGCUAGAGGAAUAAAGAAGGAGCCCUCGGUGGAUUCUUAACCACUGCACCACCAGGGAAG